rnacentral:lncRNA from 1 species
UCUAAGGAGAGUUUGGGGCCAAGGAUCUGUGGCUGGGCCGAGGCGCUGGACCCCUCCUGGUGUGUGGGCUCUCCGGCCACUGAGCACUCACCCUUUCACCCUUUGGUCCCGCUGGGCCUGGGACUCCGAUUGGUCCGGGAGUACCCUGGGGAGGUGAAAAAAAACAGAGGUGAGCGGCCUGAUGCCAGUGGGGAGGGGGGAGCCCCGCGAGCCCCGCCCGGCGCUGGAGAUGAGCAAGGUCCAAAGGCCCAUUUUCAGGGUUGGCGAGGCCAGGCUCGUUCAGGGCAGUCAUCGGACUGGGGCUUCUUCCUGUUUGGGGUGGGGGCCUCGGGCAGAGAGGCCUCCCCCUGCCUCAGAGCCAGAUUUGAGCAGGGAAACCCUUUUGCUUCACCACCAAGCUUGCCAAGGCUGAAAACGGAACACCUUGGAGCCCCUGCAUUUGAAAUCAAAACAAGGUACCUCAGAACUGCAUUUCCAGACUCUAGCACCGGGAAGGAACACGGCAGGUGCUCUGUGAACACCGUGGGGCGCAGGUGCUCUGUGAACACCUGUGGGGAGACCGUGAGCUGGGGCUCCGAGGCCGAGCUACUGUGCUCCGUGAGUGUUCGGCUUCUUGCUCGCUCCCCACGUCGGGCAGCGGUGCGUUUCCUCCUAGAGCACAGAAACGCUGUGCGUCCCGGAGGGACUGAGGGCUGCUGA